rnacentral:rRNA from 1 species
AUUGAACGCUGGCGGCAUGCCUAACACAUGCAAGUCGAACGGUAACGACGGAAGCUUGCUUCCGGGCGACGAGUGGCGGACGGGUGAGUAAUACUUAGGAAUCUGCCCAGUAGUGGGGGACAACAUUCGGAAACGGAUGCUAAUACCGCAUACGCACUACGGUGGAAAGUGGGGGACCUUCGGGCCUCACGCUAUUGGAUGAGCCUAAGUCGGAUUAGCUUGUUGGUGAGGUAAAGGCUCACCAAGGCGACGAUCCGUAGCUGGUCUGAGAGGACGAUCAGCCACACUGGGACUGAGACACGGCCCAGACUCCUACGGGAGGCAGCAGUGGGGAAUAUUGGACAAUGGGCGCAAGCCUGAUCCAGCAAUGCCGCGUGUGUGAAGAAGGCCUGCGGGUUGUAAAGCACUUUUUCAGUAGAGAAGAAAAGCCUAGGGUUAAUAACCCUGAGUCUUGACGUAACCUACAGAAGAAGCACCGGCUAACUCCGUG